rnacentral:lncRNA from 1 species
GAAUGCAAGACAGAUCGUUGUCUCAGAAAAACAUGUCACAGAAAACUGGUUGCCUACAUGACUUUAAGAACAAAGAGCACUUUCUGUGAAUAAUCAGCUUUGUGUAGGUUGUCUUCUUAAGUUUCCUAGAGAAUGCCGACUAACAUGCUUCUUGUAUCUGCUCACAUUUGACAGGCCUAGGGAAAGACUAUUGCUGAUGAAGGAGAGAACAUUGCUCCAGGCUUCUUUCAGAGAAGGAUGCCUGGCAUCACCUGCCAGAUCGCCAAAGUAAUUGACAGAUUUUCUGCCAGCUUUUACUUAACACUCUACUGUCCUACCACACCUUUUACCAACAAAAGCUGACAGAUAACAAGAAAAACAGAGAAGAUCCAGAAAAGAAAAAAAACAGGUAAGGGGAUAUCAAUGAAUCCACAUAUUUCUGUUACGUCCAUGCUGGAUGUACACUGAUACAUUGCCAGAAUGGCUCCCUCAUCUGAUGUAUGCAAGUCUGGGAAGGGAAAGGAAACCACACAAGAUGGAAAAUAUACAGAUGGCA